GGGCCGGCGUGCUUAACACAUGCAGUCGACGAUGAACCACUUCGGUGGGGAUUAGUGGCGAACGGGUGAGUAACACGUGGGCAAUCUGCCCUGCACUCUGGGACAAGCCCUGGAAACGGGGUCUAAUACCGGAUACUGAUCCGCCUGGGCAUCCAGGCGGUUCGAAAGCUCCGGCGGUGCAGGAUGAGCCCGCGGCCUAUCAGCUUGUUGGUGAGGUAGUGGCUCACCAAGGCGACGACGGGUAGCCGGCCUGAGAGGGCGACCGGCCACACUGGGACUGAGACACGGCCCAGACUCCUACGGGAGGCAGCAGUGGGGAAUAUUGCACAAUGGGCGAAAGCCUGAUGCAGCGACGCCGCGUGAGGGAUGACGGCCUUCGGGUUGUAAACCUCUUUCAGCAGGGAAGAAGCGAAAGUGACGGUACCUGCAGAAGAAGCGCCGGCUAACUACGUGCCAGCAGCCGCGGUAAUACGUAGGGCGCAAGCGUUGUCCGGAAUUAUUGGGCGUAAAGAGCUCGUAGGCGGCUUGUCACGUCGGUUGUGAAAGCCCGGGGCUUAACCCCGGGUCUGCAGUCGAUACGGGCAGGCUAGAGUUCGGUAGGGGAGAUCGGAAUUCCUGGUGUAGCGGUGAAUGCGCAGAUAUCAGGAGGAACACCGGUGGCGAAGCGGAUCUCUGGGCCGAAUACUGA
rnacentral:rRNA from 1 species